AACUUACCAAGCCUUUCAUCUGAAAGCUAACGCAACUCAACGUAGAAAUGGACCAGCCCAUCGUUUCAACUGGACCUUUGUUCAAUUCAAACCUGCCAGUCAGUAUGAUAUAAAAACAGUCAUUAAAAAACAAAUUUCUGAAUAAUUCCCAUAAGACUGGUGGCUUGUUCGUUUCGACUUGAUUGAUCCUACUGUAAACCGCUACUUACACACAAAACGUCAAUUUUACAACGCAAAACAUGUUACCCGUGCGAGGGGAGGAUGAGGACGACGAUGAGGACAAACCUGACUGAUUCUUUUCAGCCAUGUCCUUGUAGAAUGCCUUCUGCACAUCAUCUUUAAGUUCCAUGUACCGCAUUUUCUUAAUUUUCUGCUCUUCUGGAGUUCCCUUUUCAAGCAAGAACGCAUCAGGGAUAUUAAUGAAAUCAUCAUCCAGAAAUUUAUCAAGCACUUCUGAGCAGUGUGGGAAGUAGUCUUGGCCAGUCUCCACUGUCAUCAUAGAAUAGUCAGCAAUAUAUCCAAGCUUCUGAUUAAUAACAAAUCUGCAGUCAAUGGAAGUUUUAAUUUUUCCACCAUUUUAGGGAUCUGAAUUCAUUGCAAUAUGCUUAACGGGUACUUCCCUAAAUAGAUUGGACCAUAUUGUACUAAGAAAAAUACUACAAUUUCCCCCUUUUUGGGUGUCAUUUUUCUGAGUUUAAUUUAUGAUUCACAGACUUCUCAUAAAUAAAACUUCAAAAUUUUAUGAGGA